GACGAACCGUGCAAACGUUGUUCGGAAUCACUGGGCUUAAAGGGCGCGUAGGCGGGCGGUCAAGUCAGGGGUGAAAUCUUUCGGCUCAACCGGAAAAGUGCCCUUGAUACUGACGGUCUGGAGGGAGGUAGGGGCGUGCGGAACUUCCGGUGGAGCGGUGAAAUGCGUAGAUAUCGGAAGGAACACCGGUGGCGAAAGCGGCGCGCUGGACCUCUACUGACGCUGAGGCACGAAGGUCAGGGGAGCAAACGGG
rnacentral:rRNA from 1 species